GCAGCACCCCGCGCCGGGACGCGCGCCCCCACCCGACGAGGGGUGCUCAUGCCCGCGCGGGCUCUCUGCGUCCCGGGGACCCGAUCCCAGGAGCACGGCGCUGGUCGAGGAGCUAACGUGAGAUUGAGGGGUUCCACCCAGACCCUCACCUUUUAGAACACGUGUCAUCGUAAACUGGCCACUGUCAGCUCAGUGUGGGGAACCUGCGCAGUUUUGGACGGUGUGAAACGACCUGAAUAUCUUGUUUAAAUUUGUUUCGUGUGUUUAAAUUUCUCUCUUUAGCCUAACUUUUUCUGGGGGAGGUGAAGGACGGCGGUAGACGGUGGGAAAGAGAAUAUGGGUUUUGCCACAAGAAGAUGCUUCUACCUGCCACUAGGCUGCAUGGUGCUGAUCAAUCUGGUUAAUGCUGAUUUUGAAUUUCAAAAAGGAGUGCUUGCCAACAUCAGCCCAGGGAUCACUGAAGACAUUGAUCUCCAGUGCUGGAAAGCUUGUUCUUUGACAUUGAUAGAUCUCAAGGAACUCAAGAUAGAGCACAAUGGGGAUGCUUUCUGGAAUUUCAUGUUGUUCUUGCAAAAAUCCCAAAGGCCUGGACAUUAUAAUGUCUUCUUAAACAUAGCUCAGGAUUUCUGGGAUAUGUAUGUAGACUGCUUGCUUUCAAGAUCUCAUGGAAUGGGCAGAAGACAGGUGAUGCCCCCCAAAUAUAAUUUUCCACAGAAAAUAACAGGAGGACUGGAUUUUACAAAACAUGAGUAUUACAUUUAAGAUGGAAAACACGGAAAAUACCUCAAGCAAGAUGAUACCAACCUGAAAGCUUAAUUCUGUCAGUGUUGAUGAGGUCAAAUAUUUCCUGUGGUAGUUAUAAAACUAUUUUUUUUCUUUUUUUUUUUAACUAUCUUCUUGGCUUGGACAAGUUUUUGGAUAUAAAACUAUUUAUAAUUCUCUAAUAUUGAUCAAAGUUGAAUUUUUGUUGAUAUGUAAUCGCUUUAUUGCUGUUGAAUUAUCAUUCCCAUCCUUUCGGGUAAUUUGUCAAUAAUUUCUGAUUUAGAAGUUCCUGUAAAGUGUGUUUGUUUUAAAGAAAAUAUCACUUAAAUACAAAUGUGACAUAUUUUUAAUAGUCAAUGGAAAAUUACAACUAAUUUUAUAAGGUCUCUUAUACAUUAAUAUUGAUACAU